rnacentral:rRNA from 1 species
UACGGGGGGGGCAAGCGUUGUUCGGAAUUACUGGGCGUAAAGGGCUCGUAGGCGGCCAACUAAGUCAGACGUGAAAUCCCCAGGCUCAACCUGGGAACUGCGUCUGAUACUGGAUGGCUUGAAUCCGGGAGAGGGAUGCAGAAUUCCAGGUGUAGCGGUGAAAUGCGUAGAUAUUCGCAAGAACACCAGUGGCGAAGGCGGCUCACUGGCCCGAUACUGACGCUGAGGCACGAAAGCGUGGGGAGCAAACAGG